rnacentral:rRNA from 1 species
CUUGUUUGUUAGGUGAUGGCGUGCCUUUUGAAGAAUGAGCCUGCGAGUCAGCGGCAUGUCGCGAGGUUAACCCGUGUGGGGUAGUCGUAGCGAAAGCGAAUCCUAAUGAGGGUGUUUUUAAGUGGCAUGUCCUGGACCCGAAGCGGGGUGAUCUACCCAUGGCCAGUGUGAAGCAGCUGUAAGAGGUUGUGGAGGCGCGAACCCACUUGUUUGUUAGGUGAUGGCGUGCCUUUUGAAGAAUGAGCCUGCGAGUCAGCGGCAUGUCGCGAGGUUAACCCGUGUGGGGUAGUCGUAGCGAAAGCGA